ACGGAGGGUGCAAGCGUUAUUCGGAAUUAUUGGGCGUAAAGCGCGUGUAGGCGGUCAUGUAAGUCAGAUGUGAAAGCCCCCGGCUUAACCGGGGAAGUGCCUUUGAUACUGCGUGACUUGAGGACAGGAGAGGAUGGCGGAAUUCCCGGUGUAGCGGUGAAAUGCGUAGAUAUCGGGAGGAACAUCUGAGGCGAAGGCGGCUUUCUGGACCGUUACUGACGCUGAUACGCGAAAGCUUGGGGAGCAAACAG
rnacentral:rRNA from 1 species